UAAGUAAGUGGUGGAAAUUAAACCAAAUGGGAUAUCUUUAGUAAUUGCGAAUGAACAAGGAUAUGCUUAGCUUGACAAAUGGAGCUAUUGGCUUUGAAUUGUAUUGUGGAAAUGUAUUACCAACAGAGGUGCAGGUGCCAGCCUAUUGAAAUAAAGCGUCAAUGAGGGUGAGAAUCCUGUUUGUCAUGUGCAGCCCUUUGUGCACGGUGUAUAUUUGCUGAGUCACACUCCUUGGCAUUGGAAUGCAAAGUGGGUGGUAAGUUUCAUGUAAAGGUAAACAUGCAAUUGAGACUGAUAGCACACAAGUACCAUGAGGGAAAUAUGAAAAGGACUUUGAAAAAAGAAUUAAAUGAGUUUGUAUUUGCUGAACACAAAGUAAACAGACUUGAUUUGCUUGGUGGGAGUGUUGCACUUGCUUGACAAGAGCUUUGGGCUGUGGGUGUAAUGAUUCUUUCUUUGCAUGCCAGUUUCUAUUUGUACAUCUGAUUACCUUUGCACAUGAAUGAUAAGUCUCCUGUGGGGGGUGGAUUGCAUGUGCAUGUAAUGAUUUGUGUUUUGAUAAAUGUGUCUGGUGUAUGUGUGUGUUCCUGUGCUUGGGGAUGCUUCCUUCCUUGGACCUACAAGCCCUGACACACACAUGCUGGCAAAAUGCUUCUGCUUGACCCG
rnacentral:rRNA from 1 species